UGCUGCCAAACAAAACCCUCAACAAUGGCCGCAGCAACUCAAGCGCUUUUGAGCCUCUUCGCAGCUUCCCUCCCGACCAAGCACCGCCCUCUCACGAUCAGAGCUUCAAAGCCCGCCACCACCAACCCGCCCAUAGCCGGCCGGAAGCUCCGCGCCGCCGUGAUCGGCGCGGGCCCUGCAGGAUCCUCCGGGCGGCGUAGAGACCUUUCUGUUCGAGCGGAGCGGCCCCUCCGCCGCCAAGCCAUGCGGCGGCGCCAUCCCUCUCUGCAUGCUCGACGAGUUCGACAUCCCGCGCCACCUCAUCGACCGCCACGUCACCCGCAUGAGGAUCUUCUCCCCCUCCAAUCUCGCCGUCGAUUUCGGCAAAACCCUGCGCCCCGACGAGUUCAUCGCCAUGCUCCGCCGCGAAGUACUGGAUUCCUUCCUCCGCUCCCGCGCCCAAUCGUGCGGCGCCGACCUCAUCUCCGCCCUCGUCACCGAUCUCGAGGUCCCGACCUCGAACGACGCGCCGUACGUCAUCCGCUACAUUUCGAACAACUCGCAAAAGGCUCUGGCCGUGGACGUUGUGAUCGGCGCGGACGGCGCCAACAGCCGAGUCGCCAAGUCGAUCAAGGCCGGCGGCUACGCAUGCGCCAUUGCGUUUCAGGAGAGGAUUAAGCUCACGGACGACAAAAUGGAGUACUAUGAAGAUCUCGCCGAGAUGUACGUGGGAAACGACGUGUCGCCCGAUUUUUACGCCUGGGUUUUCCCCAAGUGCGACCACGUGGCAGUGGGGACUGGUACGGUGUGCUCCAAGCAGGAUAUUAAGGUGUUCCAAAGGGCAAUUAGGGCUCGGGCCAAUUCUAAGAUCAGCGGUGGGAAAGUGAUCAAAGUGGAGGCCCACCCGAUACCCGAGCAUCCCCGACCAACUCGUGUCAGAGGACGCGUUGCGCUUGUCGGGGACGCAGCUGGGUAUGUGACGAAAUGUUCAGGCGAGGGGAUUUAUUUUGCUGCGAAGUCUGGGAGAUUGUGCGGCCAAGCGAUUGUAAAGGCAUCCGAAGGAGGGCAGAGGAUGAUCAAUGAAGGGGAUUUGAGGAGGGAGUAUUUGAAAGAAUGGGAUGCCAAGUACGUUACAACAUUUAGGUUUUUGGAUUUGUUGCAAAAGGUGUUUUAUGGUAGUGAUGCGGCUAGAGAAGCUUUGGUGGAGUUGUGUGGGGAUGAGUAUGUGCAACGCAUGACAUUUGAGAGUUACUUGUACAAGAGGUUGGCAGAUGGUAAUAGGUGGGAAGAUGCUAAGAUGGUUUGCAAUACCAUUGGAAGUUUGAUGAGGUGUAACAUUUUAGGGAAGAAAAUGGAGAGUUUGAAGUUGUGAGAUUUAAUUUUCUUGCCUUAAUUGGGAUUUUCAUUUGCCUUCUAGUUGUUUGAUUUGUUUUAGCUAAACUAAAGGAUUUGUGGAUUUUAAUUGUAGUUGUUGAAACUUGAAGGUAA